rnacentral:tRNA from 1 species
GCCUGGGUGGCUCAGUGGUUGAGCAUCUGCCUUCGGCUCAGGGCAUGAUCCCAGUAUCCCAGGAUCGAGUCCUGCAUCAGGCU